rnacentral:rRNA from 1 species
AACGAACGCUGGCGGCAGGCCUAACACAUGCAAGUCGAGCGGACCCUUCGGGGUUAGCGGCGGACGGGUGAGUAACGCGUGGGAAUAUGCCCUUCUCUACGGAAUAGUCCUGGGAAACUGGGGGUAAUACCGUAUACGCCCUUUGGGGGAAAGAUUUAUCGGGGAAGGAUUGGCCCGCGUUGGAUUAGGUAGUUGGUGGGGUAAUGGCCUACCAAGCCGACGAUCCAUAGCUGGUUUGAGAGGAUGAUCAGCCACACUGGGACUGAGACACGGCCCAGACUCCUACGGGAAGCAGCAGUGGGGAAUCUUAGACAAUGGGGGCAACCCUGAUCUAGCCAUGCCGCGUGAGUGAUGAAGGCCUUAGGGUUGUAAAGCUCUUUCAGCUGGGAAGAUAAUGACGGUACCAGCAGAAGAAGCCCCGGCUAACUCCGUG